GCUUCAGUGGUUUAGUGGUAAAAUUAGCCGUUGCCAUUCCAGUUUCGGCUAGCCCCGUGUUCGAUUCACGGCUGAUGCA